AGAUAAGAAACAACUCCCACAGUUGGUCAAUGCUUCGGCAAUCGACAUAACAUAUCUUAGUCUGGAAUUUUAUUCCAUUUAUAAUAUAUCCAAACAGGUUUGUCAUCAUGAUUUAAGUAAAACAGAUGAUCAUCACUAUAAGCAGAGGUCCUGCAUACCAAUGUAGCAGCAGAAAUCGUUUACUUACUGUAGUAAUUGCACAGCCACAAGUCAGAUGUGUGAUGUCAGCAUAAAAUACCAUAUGGAAUGAGAGACCACAAUAUGGCCCUGAGCUGCAACAGUAAAUGAGAGAAAAUAAGCUAAUUAAUGGGGUAAAUAAAGUCUCAGGUGACAGCAGUUAAUGUAAUUUUAUUAUGCUAAUACAUCUCAAAGGGCUCUCGUGCUGUACAUGCAUAUUGGAGAUAAGGACUCACCGGAAUAGAUUUACGAAUUAGAAUGCAAAGUAAUAUUGGCAUCUUCUUGUAUUUGCUCUGAGUGGCUUACUGACUUCUAUUCAUUUGUAUGGAUUUCCUGUGCAGGUUUAUUCUAAAUAGCAAAUUACUGUAAUGUGGUGAGAUUUUAUGAGUGUCAUUAGUGGUGGUAAUGGUGAACCUGUAUCCAUAAUGUAGGCCUCAGUGAGCAGAUUUAGAUCUAUAAAUUGAAUUUCAAGCAACAAUUCAUUAACCUGCACAGGUUUUUGCUGGUUUUAGUAUAUUUAUUUAAUGUAUUUUUAAGAUACUGGAAGGGAAUAGCAGAUCAUCAAGAAUAUAAACAGGAUGUGAACCUGCAUCCCACAUGAUGUUUGGUUUACAGCAAUUCUGUCAGAACCCCCUGCCCUUGACUUUAGUAUGUGAGUGAAAGUGUUUGUUCCUCAGUUUGUGUGUAUGUGGAAUGCCUGUUGUGUUUUGUCUGUCUAUUUGUGUUGUCUGGCUUUCUCUUUCCCUUUGGCUGCUCCUCUGCCUGCUUCCCCUCGCUCCUGGCAGCAGAACUGGGCGUUCCCCUGAUUACCGGGCUCGCCGCUCUGACACAGCUGAGGAAUCACACAAACCACUCACCUGCUACGCUGCGUGCCCGCAACCUUGUGGUCCACGGGAAGCAAACUGGAACAUCUCUCUGUGGAUUCCCCCUGCCAGCUCAGCUCCAAACCUUGUCCCCAGCCCAAACUACAUUCCCCAUCCUUGCAAAUUCUGGCUUAUUGUCAAAUAAAACACAUUAAAGGCUA